rnacentral:rRNA from 1 species
UAAGACAGAGGGUGCAAACGUUGUUCGGAAUUACUGGGCGUAAAGCGCGUGUAGGCGGUUUGGUAAGUCGGAUGUGAAAGCCCGGGGCUCAACCCCGGAAGUGCAUUCGAUACUACUGAACUCGAGUACUGGAGAGGAUGGUGGAACUCUCGGUGUAGAGGUGAAAUUCGUAGAUAUCGAGAAGAACACCGGUGGCGAAGGCGGCCAUCUGGACAGAUACUGACGCUGAGACGCGAAAGCGUGGGGAGCAAACAGGAUUAGAUACCCUGGUAGUCCACGCCGUAAACGAUGGGUGCUAGGUGUCACGGGUAUUGACCCCUGUGGUGCCGAAGCUAACGCAUUAAGCACCCCGCCUGGGAAGUACGGCCGCAAGGCUAAAACUCAAAGGAAUUGACGGGGCCCGCACAAGCGGUGGAGCAUGUGGUUUAAUUCGACGCAACGCGAAGAACCUUACCUGGGCUAGAACUCACAAGAAUCCUGCGGAAACGUGGGAGUGCUCGCAAGAGAACUUGUGGUGA